UACGGAGGGUGCAAGCAUUAAUCGGAAUUAUUGGGCGUAAAGGGCGCGUAGGCGGUUAUAUAAGUCAGAUGUGAAAUUCCGAGGCUCAACUUCGGAGCUGCAUUUGAAACUAUAAGACUUGAGGGUUGACGGAGAGAACGGAAUUCCACGUGUAGCGGUGAAAUGCGUAGAUAUGUGGAAGAACACCUGUGGCGAAAGCGGUUCUCUAGUUUAUACCUGACGCUGAGGCGCGAGAGCAAGGGGAGCAAACAGG
rnacentral:rRNA from 1 species